rnacentral:misc_RNA from 1 species
CCGAUACCCACACGUACAGAGGACGAACGUCCGACGUACAGGCAGUUGUUGGAGGAAAACGCGCCGGCGCGGCCGGCUCGACACAGCGUCGGGUCGGUCCCCGUCGGUGGCAGCCAGUCGUUACGUUUCGUUGAAGCACUCUAAGAAUACUCGUUGACGCUUCGGGGUACCUGUCGCACGUCGUCCGUCUUUGCGUGCGGUGAGCAGGCCUCGGGCUUCGGCCCCCGGUCGGCGAAGGUCCAACGAACCGUCCGCGUGCGUUCGCGCGCGCGCGUUCGGUCGCCCCGUCGCAUUCUCGUUUCCCAGUCAGUCAGUUACCGGUUUUCGUACGGUUGCGUGUUACCCAGUGUGAGGACAAACUUUGUAAGAGUUACACAGAC